UAAUUCGGAGCUUUCUGGAUAAUGGGUUUCCGGAUAAGGGAUCCCAUACCUGUAUAUUUACAAAGCAGUAGCUCUGUGAGCUAGUAACUAUGUUUUUAGACAAAGUGUACAUCAGCCAUGUUCUCUGUAGGUGGUGACUCACAAUCUCCGCCGGCAAGUAAACUGGAAAUCACAUGUUUCUGAGGUGUGUUAUGCAAACCCAUCUGUCAAGAAGUGUCUUAGGGACUCCUUCACUGAUAUUCACAUUUAUUGUAUUUAUACGUUUCAUGUAAAUAUGGCAUUGCUUCCUCUGUGCUGAUUGCAUAACUAGGCAAAUAGCCAAGGCACAGCUAAGCAACUUUUGUUAAUGUUAUACUAUAACUCCCAACUUCCUCCACCCGAACCCACCACUGACAUCAUGAACGGGGCAGGGCCUGCCACCAACGUCGACAAGGUGAAGGGUUUGUUGGAAAAUGACAGCUGCAACGAAGAGAAGGUGGCAGGUCUAGACAUACCAGCAGCUGGUCCCAUGGGUAUCCAAUGCAUCAGUAGUAGGGGUCUUUUCAUUUGUGGCCUACAUUUUGGACUAAUUGCAUGCAUUUAAAAAGCCUCUCUGGUUAGUGGUUGUAAAGAAAUGAGCCUUGAAGGUCACUACCCCUGACUUAUUGUAGCCUAAAGUGGUUUGAGAUUCCUGGGCCUACAUAAUUAAGAGAUAACUGCCUCAAGUUUUUACUGAGUUUAAAGUUAUUUGUUAACAUCAUUUCUUUUCAGCAGUUUGUUUUUUUUUCUGCACUGCUGGUUCUGACUCUUGAUGUCAUGUAACAGAAGCUGUCUCUCAUCCAAAGGUGAUUUCAGUUUGCCUUGUGUCUCGCAUGAUUCUUCACAGAUCUUAAAAAGCUUCCGCAUCAUUGUUUAAAGAGACACAACCAGCAGUGCAGUGAAAAAAACAAGGCAGACCAGUACUACUUUAAAUACCUAAACAUAGUAAUCACAGUUAAAUAUACACUUCACAUUUUAUGUUCAUUUUCUGUUAAUUUGAAGACUAAAAUAAUGCUGUGUAUAAUUUUUGUGACUUUAGAGAAUGACCCAGUUUUAUGAAAAUUAUGCAUUCAAUUAAUGUACAGAGUUGUUUUUUUUUUCUCUUUAGUUCUGUUUCCUUUUUCUCCCUCGCCACAUGUAGUGUCACAGCUUCUGACUUCAGUUACUAGGACACCUGUUUGCCUUAGUUAGAAGCCUGCAGUUUUGUGUGAUUUUUGGCAGCUCUGCUCCAUUGCAGAAAGGGUUAUUGGUGCCCAUAACAAUCAGGCAGUUAUCUAAAUGACAGAGAGGAAGAUGAACAGGAGAGAGACUAAACAAACUAAUAAGCCAAGAAGCAACAUCAACAAAAGCUCAACUCUGCUGUUUGUGAUUAACUAGACUGCAUUUUAAGCUGUAAAGAGGAACAAUUGGUUACUAAACCCCUGAACAAGAAGAACAAUUGCAGAUUGUAUGAUAUUAUUAUAUAUUAAUUUUUUUGGUGAACUUCCCAUUUAAGCCAAGUGUUGAAAACACUGAUAAUGGGGAAUUCGCUCUCUUCCAGUAAGCAGUUCAGCAGCAGCUUUUAUUGGACUACUGCUACUAUAAUAAUGUAAGCAAAAUUAAAGGGAUUCUUUCAUGA